rnacentral:lncRNA from 1 species
GACGGAAGGGCUAUUAGCAUUUGGAUCAUCUCUUUUGAAAGAUUCCUCUUCUCUGUGUUCAUUAUCUUCUGCUCCUAAUUGAGAUAACGCUUGUAAAGCAAGCUCAUAGAGUGGUGGAUGUAGCUGAGCUACUGCACUUGUUUCUUUACUUGGAGUUAAUUAGAUUUCUUUUAUUUUGGGAGUCAUGUUAUCUUAAAUUAACAGGAACAUAACAUAGAU